CUCCGGGCUUUAUGUCUGUGCUGGACCCUGUGCCUGCAAACCCUGCUUUUGGGACGGUGGCCACCAUCCUCUUACAUGCCUGGGGAUAUUUUUAAAGACACUUCCUCCAGACGCAUUCUCUGACUCCUGGAUUUCAGUGAGAUCAUCCUUGAAGGGCAGGAAGAGCCACUUCUUGGGCAUGUCCUUGAGGAACAGCUCCUGCUGCUCUUCUGUGGGAUCCUGCGACACGUACACCAGGGCCAACUGGGCCGCCCGCAGCACAUAGAACUCAUCUGUGAGCCUCACAAAGAAGUCCUUGAGGAUGGGCACGAAGGCCUGACACUUGGGACAAGCCGCGGCGCCAAAGAACAGCAGCACCAGACGGUUCUCCAGCCUGCGGCUGACCUCGGCCUCGGUGUCCAGCUCAUCCUGGUCGCUGUUAUUGCGGAUCAGGACGCGGCCAGAGAACAGGGAGACCAUGGUAGCCUCAACUGGGUGCUGGGGACAGGGAGAGAGAUCCCCAGGUGGUGUGGCCUGGACCUGCUGUCUGGUUCCUCUCCCAGGAAUAGAGAUCUCUAGGAAGCCAGUUUAGGACCUCGCUAAUCUGCUCAAUCUUGACCUAGUUCUGCAGGGCCUCCAAGGGCAGGGGUUGGUGCGGGGAGAGCGCCCUCGUGUGCCUGAAAACACGUUGCAGAAAAUCUAAACUGGGGUCUGGGGGUGUAGCUCAGCUGUAGAGCACUUAUCCAGCAUUCCCUGCUCCAAAUUGAGAGAGACGGACUGAGAAAAUAAGAAAGAGAAGAGAAAACACCGGAGAGAAGACAGCCCAGUGAAGACCAAGGCAGAGCCUGGAGUGAUGCGGCCACAAACCAAGGAACCCUGGGAACCACCAACAGCUGGCAGCCAGAAGAGCUCCUCCCUGAAGCCUCCAGAGGGCGCUCUGCUUCCAUGACUUCAGACCUCUAGAGCUGCCAGAUAUAAUAGGUUUCUGUUGCCCCUAGGCAAAGGUACUUUUGUUACAGCAGCUGUUGUACACUCAUACCUACUAUGGCGUUUAUUUCAGGGAAAUUGUUCACUUCUACAGGGUGCUCAUGUUCUACUUACAAUGCAGUCCCCGUGCCUUGGUCUUCUUGUAUUUUAUUUCAAUACUGGUUAUUUUCUCUUGUUCUUUUGGAAAGUGCAAGAAACUUCUUUGCUGUUGCAGUACACCCAGCAGAGGGCCCACUGCCAGCCACUGCCACGUGCAGUGACUGGGUAAUCAAUGCACUUGAUGCCCAGCUCCCAUUAACAUCUACCUAGCAACCAAGGUGCAGAGGGGAGAGGUAUCCUGCCCAGGGUCAUCAGUUGAAGAGGGGCAGAGACUGGUUCAGUUCCAAAGCCUGAGUUCUACCCUCCUGUCAGGGAAUAUAUCUUCAAUCCCUUAUGCAAAAUCCUUGGGGGUAAUAAACCUUGGCACUGGGAAUGUU